ACCUCGGUGGUGUAAUGGAACAGCGCGGCAGACCGGAUAUCUGUAAGUGCGGCUUCAAAUCCCGCCCGAGGUC
rnacentral:tRNA from 1 species